rnacentral:rRNA from 1 species
CCUACGGGAGGCUGCAGUGGGGAAUAUUGGACAAUGGGGGAAACCCUGAUCCAGCAAUGCCGCGUGUGUGAAGAAGGCCUGCGGGUUGUAAAGCACUUUCGGUUGGGAAGAAAAGUUUGGCGCCAAUACCGCCGAACCUUGACGUUACUGACAGAAGAAGCACCGGCUAACUCUGUGCCAGCAGCCGCGGUAAUACAGCGGGUGCAACUGUUCAUCGGAAGCACGUGGGUGAUCAUGUGAGUCGGUUGUGAAAUCCCCGGGCUUAACCUGGGAACUGCAUUCGAUACUACAUGGCUAGAGUAUGGUAGAGGGAAGUGGAAUUUCCGGUGUAGCGGUGAAAUGCGUAGAUAUCGGAAGGAACACCAAUGGCGAAGGCAGCUUCCUGGACUAAUACUGACACUGAGGCACGAAAGCGUGGGUAGCAAACAGGAUUAGAUACCCCAGUAGUC